CCCAAUUUGCAAUGAGUGCAGAGUCUUGUGCAACAAAGACAACGUAUCAAAGAACCACGGCUUCUAUUUUUCUCGACAUGAUUGCACAGAAAGAACGAAAUAUUUGAUCCUUAAGGAGCACCCCUAGCUCAUCCUACUAAAGCAUUUUCAGGAGCUGUCCAAGAAGAAUCCACCUACUAAGGAGAGCGAGGGCCAGGCACGUAAGGGAUGGUGUACUUAUGUAGAUGAUGAUGUGGACUCGGAUGGCAACUUCUUGAUGCUUUCGGUAUAUGAAUCAUGAAGCCUUAUAUUGCUUAUAUAUGUCUCACGCUU